UACGAAGGGGGCUAGCGUUGCUCGGAAUCACUGGGCGUAAAGCGCACGUAGGCGGAUUGCUAAGUCAGGGGUGAAAUCCUGGAGCUCAACUCCAGAACUGCCUUUGAUACUGGCGACCUUGAGUCCGGGAGAGGUGAGUGGAACUGCGAGUGUAGAGGUGAAAUUCGUAGAUAUUCGCAAGAACACCAGUGGCGAAAGCGGCACCCUAGCGUUAGCCUGACGCUCAUGUGCGAAAGCGUGGGGAGCGAACGGG
rnacentral:rRNA from 1 species